CACAGCUGAUGAUGCAGCAGGUUCAUCUGCUGCACAAGCGAUUAAAAGCGAGGAGCAGUUACAUGCGCCUGAAAGCGAGGAGCAGUUACAAGCACCUACAUUCACCGAUACGUUGGUUUCAAAAUCAGCCGGCAUGACAGGUCCUUCUACAUCUGCACCCACUGCUAUAGAUUUACCAUCUACUGCCUCAACAAGCUCCAGCUACCAAGAGAGAUCAACAGCUCCUCCAAUUGACCCAGUUGAAUGGUCAGCAUUCCUCUCAGACUUAGAAAGGACUGAACUGGUAAGAAGAGGGCCAGUGCCAAUCAGUGACACCUCUACAUUCCCCAAGAAAUCAGAUGGACGAAGCUUUCACUACCACUACACAUACAGACAAUUAGUUAAUGGGGAAAAAAUCAAGCGAAGCUGGCUAAUUUAUUCAAAGAAAAGUGAUGCAGUUUACUGCUUCUGUUGCAAAUUAUUCUCAAGAAAGUCCACAAAGCUGUCAACAGAGGGACUGCGUGAUUGGGUAAAUGUAGGUGCUUUGCUGAAACAGCAUGAAAAUAGUCAAGAUCAUUGCAAUAAUAUGGUGAAGUGGAAAGACUUUGCCCUCCGUCUUUCUAAGCAGAAGACUAUUGAUGCAACAGAAAUGGCCCUUUUGGAUGCAGAAAGAAAUCGUUGGAGAGAUGUUCUUAUCCGUUUGAUUAGUAUCAUUCAGUCUUUGGCAGAGAGAAAUCUUGCACUCAGGGGGUCAGUUGA